rnacentral:rRNA from 1 species
GACGUAGGGCGCGAGCGUUGUCCGGAUUUAUUGGGCGUAAAGAGCUCGUAGGCGGCUUGUUGCGUCGACUGUGAAAACCCGCGGCUUAACUGCGGGCUUGCAGUUGAUACGGGCAGGCUAGAGUUCGGUAGGGGAGACUGGAAUUCCUGGUGUAGCGGUGAAAUGCGCAGAUAUCAGGAGGAACACCGGCGCGAAGGCGGGUCUCUGGGCCGAUACUGACGCUGAGGAGCGAAAGCGUGGGGAGCGAACAGG